UUUUUUUUGAGAGACAAUUUUGCUGGUUAUAUAAUUCUUGGUUGGCAAUUUUUUUUUCCUUCAAGACUGUAUGUGUCAUCCCAUUGCCUUCUUGCCCACAUGGUUUCUGCUGAGUCACCUGAGCUUAGUCUUAUUGGUUCUCCUUUGUAGGUGACUUUUCAUUUAUCUUUAGCUGCUCUCAGGAUGUCUUUGGUUUUGGCAAAAUUGGUUACGUCUUGAUGGCUUUCUUUUGGGAUCCAUCCUGUAUGGGGUUCAUUGAGCUUCUUGGAUAGUUAUCUUCUCAUGUUCCAUGAUAUUAGGGAUAUUUUUUCACAGCAAAUCUUCAACGAUUCUCUCUGUGUUUUCUGUUAUCCUACCUGUUCUGGUACUCUGAUCACAAGUAGGUUUUUCUCAUGAUAGUAUCCCACAAAACUCUUACACUUUUUUCACUAUUCUGAUUUUUCCUCAAACAAAUCGGUGUCAAGGGAUUUAUCUUCAAUCUCACUAAUUCUGACUUCCAUUAUCUCAAUUCUGCUCCUAUGACCUUCUAUUGAGUUGUCUAAGUCUGAAACUUUAUUAUUAAUCUUUUGGCUUUCUGGUUGCUGUUUCUGUGUGGUUUCUAGCAGCCCAUUUAUUCUGUCAUUUUGUUCUUGUAUUGUUUUUCUGAAUUCUUCUGUUGCUUUGUCUGUGUGUUCCUUUGUUUGGUCUGAGUAUUGCCUGAUCUCCUUCCUGAUCUUUGGAGAACUCUGUAUAUUAGUUUUGAAUUCUUUAUCAGGUAAUUCCAUCGCCUUAUCUUCCUCUGGAGUUUUCUGGCUCUUUAUUUUCGUCACUUGCUAUGGCCAUCUUGUCUUGCUUCUUUAUGUGAUUUGAUAUUGACUGUUGUCUCUGAGAAAUCAAUAACUCAUUAUAUUUAUUUAUGGUUUUUUGUUUACUGCAUCCUGUAUUUUUGGUUUUUUUUUGUUUGAUAUAUUCAAGUAGGCUGGGCGUGUGUGUUACUCUGGUUGUUGGUGUUAUUGAAGUUCUCACCUCUCUGUCUCCAGCUGGUCAGAGCAGCAACUAGGCAUGUGUGCCUGGAAGCCUGUUCACUGUUCCUGCGUGGGUGCAGUUUUUCAGGGUGCAGGUGAAUGGGUGUCAGUCACUAUGUGGUAUGGAGACACUCACCUAGAGUCCUAGGUGGGUAGGGCUGCAUGGAUGUGUUCGGAGCAGGCACAGGUCUCUGGUUGCAACGGGGGUGAUGUGUGGGGCAAGGAGGGGGCUCUUGGCUGCCCCCAGGUGCCCAGAUGGAAAGCAUGUCCCUGUAUGCUACAGUGCAUAGUGGGAAGGAUAGUGCAGCUGGUCUUUGAGCACCUGGUACCAUUGGUUGGAGGGAUUGGCAAGCAGCAUUAAUUCCGAGGCCCCUAGAUGAAGGGGGUGGUACCGCUGGCCCUCAGGCCAUCAGUCUAGGUGGGCGAGGCCCUUUCUUAGGGGUGGAGUUGUGUCGAAUGCCACAAAUCUGCAGCUCUCACUUGGCUGAUGCUGGUGAAAAUGGGCGUCAGGUGGAUGCCCAGCCCAUUUUGUGCUAAUGAGGGUGUGCAGUGCUCUAUUGGUCUGCAUAGCACUGGGGCAGGGGUGAAGGGUGGGGUGAAGUGUACUGCAAGUCUGUGGACUCCCUAUGCCAGUGACUGGGCAAAGAGGUGGGCAUCUCUGGACCUGCCAUGAGCUCCCAGCUCAGAGAGCAUGGCAUUGUUGAAUGCCGUGAGAAUGGUGUCACAGCAGGGUGGGAGAUGUGUGAGGGGAAGGAAGUGCUCCUUGGUCGUGGGGCUCUGGCAGGAGGGAGAGUUAUGGUGUCAGCAUAUGUAGUGGGUUGGGAGCUUGCAGUCAACUUUGGCAGGUCUGGUGUCACUCCUGUUUGGUUGUGGAGGUGUGUGCAGAUUUGCUGCUGCUUAACUGCACCAGAUGGGGUGGGUUUCAGCUUGGGAUGUUGCUGCCUGCCUCAGCCUAUGUGUGCUGUACAAAUUUAGCUAGCAGGUUGCUGGUGAUCCCACAAAUCUGUAUUUCCCUGUUUCUGCUAUUUUUCAAUUGUCUCUUCUUCCACCUAAUGAUCGGUCCAAUUCUUCAGCUUUGUGUUUGAUGACUAGGGCUCCUAGAUUGUCAUAUGUAAUCAAUUCACUUUUUUUCUUGGUCUUUGUUGUAAGGGGGAACAAUACAAAGUGUCUGACUAUUCCACCAUCUUGGCCCUGCCUCCCAGAAAUUUAUCUUAAUAAAAUAUAUGCAUUAAAAAAUUUUUAUUGUGCUUUAGGUGAAAUUAAUAAUACAUUUGUAAUUCAGUAUUCCAGAAUAUUAUAAUUUCACCAUGUGAUCAAUCUAAAAUUACUAAUGAGAUGUUUUACUUUUUUUUUCGUACUGUCUUUGAGGAAAUUUGGUGUGUAUUUUACACUUACAGCACAGCACACUUUGGACUAGCCAUAUUUCAGGUGCUCAAGAGUCAUAUUAGCUUAUAGCUACGUAUUGGUUAGCACAGCUCUAGGGCUUGCUCUUCUGUCAUUUUUUUGUGAAGUGGCAGUUUGUUUUGUGAGGUCUCCUGGCCCUAUUUCCCUCUUCUACUUUUUUAGACUUUCUUUUUCCUUGGUCUCUAUUGCCCCUGUCCUGCUCCAUUUGAAUUCUGUGCCAGCGUUUUCUUCUCAGUGUGGGGUUUGUUAUGGAAGGAAGCUUCGGCUGUUCAUUUGGAAUAUUCAUGAGGUCCAAACAUCUCCACCUCUUCCGACCCUUGAACUCAUUAGCUAUUGGAAAUGAAACCCAGUUUGACUUGCUAGGUUUUUAAGUGAAUGUUGUUACUGCUGCGAGUGUGCUCUGACUUGAUUGGACCAUUGCGAUCCGUAGAAUUUUUAUUGACUGAUUUUUCUGAGUAGAUCAUCAGGCCUUUCUUCCUAGUCUGUCUUAGUCUGGAAACUCCACUGAAACCUGUUCAGUAUCACAGCAACAAUCAAGCCUCUAAGACAGAUAGGUGGUGACUGUACCUGAGGUGCAUUGGCACGGAACGAAAGACCUGUGUAAUCUUUGGCUGAAAGGUGACCUUCAGGAGUGACUUCAGUUCUCAGUUAAAAGGUACCUCAGGGCCAUAGUCCUCGUGGGUUCCCCCAGUCUCUGUCAGACCAGUAAGUCUUAUCUUUUUUGAUGAUUUUGAGUUUUGUUCCACAUUUUUUCUCCUGUUUUGUCCAGGAUCCUCUACUGUGAUCCCUGUCAGAGUGAUCGGUGGUGGUAGCCGGGCACCCUCUAGUUCUGGGCUCAGGCUGGUGGAAGCUGUGGUACUUGUGGUCCAUUGGACUAAUAUUUCCUUUGUGUCUUUGGUUUUCUUCAUUCUCCUUUGCUUCAGAUGGGGUGGGACCAGUCGAUGUGUCUUAGAUGGCUGUAAUUUGUUUUGAGGUGGGCCUUUUGUUCUUCUCAUUCUUUUAUUGUGCUGGUGCUCUCUUUGUGACAAUGUGCAAAAUUUCAAAUCAGUGGAAGUUUAUAAAUUUAUGAUAUAUCUGUCAUAAUUCAUGUUUAGAGUUCCAACAUAACAGUGAAUAAUUCUAAGAUUAGCAGUCUAGUGAAGUAAUACAGAUGGAAUCAGUUCAUUUUUACAUUGCUUAUUUAAUAAAUAGUUCUUAAGCACUUACACCUACCACACAUCUGUCAGUUUGUCAUACUGUGGUGGCUUGCAUGUUUCUGUGAUGCUGGAAGCUAUGCCACUGGUAUUUCAAAUACCAGCAAGGUCACCCAUGGUGGACAGGUUUUAGUGAGCUUCCAAACUAAGACAGACUAGGAAGAAGGAUCUGGUGGUCUGCUUCUGAGAAAUUGACCAGUGAAAACCUUAUGAAUAGCAGCAGAACAUUGAUAUAGUGCCAGAAGAUGCGCCUCUCAGGUUCGAAGGUACUCAAAAUAUGAUUGGAGAAGCGGUGCCUCCUCAAAGUAGAAUUGAUCUUAAUGAUAUGGAUGGAAUAAAGCUUUUGGGACCUUCAUCUUUUGAUGUGACACGACUCAAAAUGAGAAGAAACAGCUGCAAACAUCCAUGAAUAAACGGAACAUGGAACGUACGAGGUAUGAAUCUAAGAAAAUUGGAAAUCAUAAAAAAUGACAUGGAACACAUAGAGCUCGAUAUCCUAGGCAUUCGCGAACUGAAAUGUAGUGCUAUUGGCCAUUUUGAAUCAGACAAUCAUAUGGUCUACUAUCCCAGGAAUGACAAAUUGAAGAGGAAUGGCAUUGCAUUUGUCAUUAAAAAGAGCAUUUCGAGAUCUAUCCUGAAGUACAACAUGGUCGGUGAUAGGAUAAUAUCGAUACACCUAUAAGGAAGACCAGUUAACACAAAUAUUAUUCAAUUUUACACACCAACCACUAAUGCCAAAGAAGAGGGAAUUGAAGAUUUUAACCAACUUCUGCAGUCUGAAAAUGAUCAAACAUGCAAUCAAGAUGCAUUGAUAAUUACUGGUGACUGGAAUGUGAAAGGUGGAAACAAAGAAGGAUCAGUAGUUGGAAAAUAUGGCCUUGGUGAUAACAACGACACUGGAGAUCACAUGUUAGAAUUUUGCAUGACCAUUGACCUCCUCAUUGUAAAUGCUUUUUUUUUUAAUAACAUAAACGGUGACUAUACACGUGGACCUUGCCAUAUGGAGCACACAGGAAUCAAAUCAACUACAUCUGUGGAAAGAGAUGAGGAGAAGCUCAAUAUCAUCAGUCAGAACAAGGCUAGUGGCCUACUGCAGAACAGACCAUCGAUUGCUUGUAUGCAAGUUCAAACCGAAGCUGAAGAAAACUAGAACAAGUCCACAAGAGUGAAAGUAUGACCUUGUGUAAAUCCCACCUGAAUUUAGAGACCAUCUCAAGAAUAGAUUUGACGCAUUGAACACUAAUGACAAAGUCCAGAGGAGUUGUGGGAUGACAUAAAGGACAUCAUACGUGAAGAAAGCAAAACGUCAUUAAGAAGAUGGGAAAGAAAGAAAAGACUAAAAUGGAUGUCUGAAGAAACUCUGAAGCUUGUUCUAGAAUGUAGAGUAGCUAAAGCAAAUGGAAGAAAUGGUAAAGUAAAAGAGCUGAACAGAAGAUUUCAAAGGGUGGCUAGAGAAGACAAAGUAUUAUAAUGAAAUGUGCAAAGACCUGGAAUUAGAGGACCAAAAGGGAACAGAACACUUGGAAUUUCUCAAGCCGAAUGAACUGAAGAGAACAUUCAAGCCCCAAGUUGCAGUUCUGAAGGAUUUCUUGGGCAAAAUAGUGAAUGAUGCAGGAAGCAUCUAAAGAAGAUGGAAAGACACAGAGACACUGUACCAAGAGGAAUUGGUCAACACUCAUCCAUUUCAGGAGGUAGCAUAUGAUCAAGAAAUGACGAUAUUGAAGAAAGAAGUCCAAGCUGCCCUGAAGGCAUUGGUGAAAAACAGGCUAUAGCCAUUGAUAGAAUACCAGUUGAUAUAUUUCAGCAAAUGGAUGCAGCACAGGAGGUGCUAAUUCGUCUGUGCCAAGGAAUUUGGAGGACAGUUACCUGACCAACUGACUGGCAGAGAUCCAUAUUUGUGCCCAUUUCAAAGAAAGAUGAUCCAACAGAAUGUGAAAUUUAUUGAACAGUAUCAUUAAUAUCACUCACAAGCAAAAUUUUGCUGAAGAUCAUUCAAAAACAGUUGCAGCAGUACAGCGACAGGGAACUGCCAGAAAUUCAAGCCGAAUUCAGAAGAAGACGUGGAAUGAGGGAUAUCAUUGCUGAUGGAUGGAUAUCGUCAUUGAUGAAGUGUGGCUGAAAGCAGAUAAUACCAGAAAGAUGUUUACCUGUGUUUUAUUGACUAUUCAAAGGCAUUUGACUGUGUGGAUCACAACAAAUUUGGAUAACAUUUGAAGAAUGGGAAUUCCACUUAAUUGUGCUCAUGCUGAAUCUGUACAUAGACCAAGAGGCAGUUGUUCGAACAGGACAAAGGGAUACUGCAUGGUUUAAAGUCAGGAAGGGUGUGCGUCAGGAUUGUAUCCUUUCACUAUACUUAUUCAGUCUAUGCUGGCAAGUAAUCUGAGAAGCUGAGUUAUAUGAGGAAGAACGCAACACCAGGAUUGGAGGAAGGCUCAUUAAUAUACUGUGAUAUGCAGAUGACACAAUAUUGCUUGCUGAAGGCAAAGAGGACUUGAAGCACUUACCGAUAAAGGUCAAAGAUUACAGCCGACAGUAUGGCUUACACCUCAACAUAAAGAAAACAAAAAUCCUCACAACGGGACCAAUAAGUAACAUCAUGAGAAAAGACUGAAGUUGUAAAAGAUUUCAUAUUACUUGGAUCCACAAUCAAUGCCCAUGGAAGCAGCCAUCAAGAAAUCGAAUGAUGUAUUGCAUUGGGCAAAUGUGUUGCAAAAGACCUUCUUUAAAGUGUUAAAAAGUGAAGAUGUCACUUGGAGGACUAACGUGUACCUGACCCAAGCCAUGGUAUUUUAAACUGCCUCAUGUACAUGGUACAUGUGAAAGCUGGACAAUGAAUAAGGGAGACUGAAGAAGAAUUGAUGCCAGUUGAAUUAUGGUGUUGGUGAAGAAUAUUGAGUACACAGUGGGCUGCCAGAAGGACAAACAAGUCUGUCUUGGAAGAAAUGCAGCCAGGGUGCUCCUUGGAAGCGAGGAUGGCAAGACGUCAUCUUAUGUACUGUGGACAUGUUAUCAGGAGGGACCAGUCCCUGAGAAGAACAUCAUACUUGGUGAAGUAGAGGGACAGUGAAAAACAGGAAGGGCCUCAAUGAGACAAAUCGACACAGUAGCUACAGCAAUGGGCUCAAAAGUAGCAAGGAUUGUGAGGAUGGUGUUACCGCAGUUUCAGGAGUUGGAGCCUCCUGCUGUAAACAGCCAGCUCUUGAGACAGGGGUGAGGUGGGUAGCAAGAGCUUUAUUAAUAUAUCAAUAUAUGGAGACGGGGGAACAGGGAUAUGGAGACAGAGGAGAAUGAUCUCCUCCUAAAUCUGUCUGUCUCAAGAAACUGGAGGCCACCUGGGGUUUUUUAGGGAAAAGGUUUUAGGAACUUGUGGAAUGUCCAUUUUCUUUCUGUGUGGUUUCGAUGGUCACGUUUCAAACACGUUGGUCUUUUCCUGCCAUUAUCCCAUCAGCCCAGGGGGUGACUGGCGCCAUCCUGGUGAGCAUCACCCUGUUUGACAGGCUUAGAUCAAUAUCACUUGUUUUUUCAUGGUCCUAGGGGAAAUAUUCAUUAAUUUUUAUUUCCAAGGAGUGCCUGGUGGAUUCAAACUACCAUCCUUUUGAUUAGCAGCGGUAGCAUUUAACCACUAUGCGUAGUGGUUAAGUGCUACGGCUGCUAACCGAAAGUCGGCGGUUUGAAACCGCCAGGCGCUUCUUGGAAACUCUAUGGGGCAGUACUACCUCUGUCCUAUAGGGUCGCCAUGAGUCGGAAUCGACUUGACCGCACCGGGUGUGGUUUCGGGCUUACCACCAGGGUUUCCAACAAGCACUUACUGUGAAUAAAAUACUCUUUCUGUUGAGUUAACAGCCCUGAUGUACAGACUGUCUUAAUCUCAUUUUUGGUGAAGGCUCCAUGAAAACGAAGUGGAUUUUAACUCACUAAUAGGUUUAUCUCAUUCUCUUCAGAUAUAGAUGUCAAUUGUAUUUCUCCAAAUUUCUUAGCGUCUGAGCCCUGACUCAUUCAGAUGACAAAGCUGGCAACUUGUGACCAUCUAGAAGGAAAUGAAUACAUCAGUUGGUUUACAGAAGUGGAAGUUGCAUAAAAUACAGAGAUAUGGGUUUGAGUUUCAUCUGCACCACUUAUAACUAUUGUUUGGUCUUAGACAAGUUAUUUAAUCUAUCUAACUUUUGGUUUCUUCAACUGUAAAAUGAGAAUAAUACUUAUUUUUCAGGAUUAUUUUUAAGUUAAAGUAAUGACUAUAAAAUCAUUUUGUUAAUUGCAAAGUGCUAUGUAAAUUUCCUCUUUCUUCUUUGCUUCUUUCUUUUUCUGUCAUUGAAUUAAAGAUGCCUACUAAUGAUAAUGGAGCCCUGGUGGCAGAGUGGUUAAGAGCUAUGGCUGCUAACCAAAAGGUAGGUGGUACGAAUCCAACAGCUGCUCCUUGGAAACCCUCUGGGGCAGUUCCACUCUGUCUUAUGGGAUCAGUAUGAAUUGACUUGACAGCAACGGUUUAAAAAAGUUUUUUUUUUAAUUAAUGAUACUAUUUUUUUGUAUUGUUGUUUUGGAAGCAGCUGGAAGUGUAGGCAGAAACAGAAAUCAUUGGUAUCCAUCCACUUAACCUCCACUUAAACAUUCCAUGAGUUUAUCCUCUUUCAUUGCUAGAAAAUUAUUUAUGCAAGCACUUUGAGAUAAGGUUAUGCUGGCAAUAUCAACCUGUUUUGGUCUAUGAACAACUAAAAUUUGAUUGAAAUUGAAAUAUUCAAAUGAUAUAUCUGAUUGGUUUCUAAUAAGAGAACAUUGCUUUAUUAACUUUUCGUGAGAAAAAAAUCUUUGGCUUGUUAUGUUUUUUAUUCUUUAAGAAAUACAUGCCCAUAAAAUAUCAAAUACUAUAACAGCUUUAAGGUAAACAUGAAUUGCCCUGUUUACUCCAUUGUUAUUUUUAUAUAUCCAGAGAAAGCUAUUUUUAACAGUUUGAUUAUAUUUUUCCCUACAAUUUUUAUAAGCUUUUGUUUCUACACAAAUUGACUAAAAUAUAUAUAAUUCUGUAAUUUAACUUCUUCACUUAGCAAUACAUUGUGCAACUUAUUGUAAGUGGUCCUAUUAACAAGGCUACAGGAGAUGAAGUGGCUGCGAGGGAAAGGACAAUUCAAGGACUGCUGAGUAAAAGAGUGCUUCUUAUGGCACUGGACAGCCUAAAGAGAGAAUGACAAGCUCAAAGUCCUGAACUCUUGGCUCCAGGUAAAACCUGACAAUCAGAUUUUCGAUCUUCUAUCUAUGUGAGAAUCUUUUAUUGCUUGUAGCUGCAAGCUGAAGCCAAAACCAAACUCAAAAUUUGAUUCUACAGGUUAGAAUAUUACAAACCCAGUCGAAUUCAAGCUUUACUAGAUCGUUUAAGUAACAACUAGAGGCCUGAUCGUGAUAAAAUGUGACCUCAAGAACUUAGAGAAGUGGCAGUUGCAUAAAAUACGGAGGAUUCAGUCCAAAGCACCCGCCCGGCAAACAUUCAAAGCUCGUAAGUUUCGUUUCAUUUGCCCACAAAGGAAGUAGGCAUUGUGAGGGCCUGACUCCACCCUGUGGUUAAAUAACUUGUCCAAGGUCACAAAGCCAAAAAACGACAGGUUUUCAUGCCAAGGUAAUCUGUCUCCAGGAGCCCUGGUGGUGCAACAGUUAAGUACUUGGCUGCUAACUGAAAGGUUGGCCAUUGGAACCCACCCAGUGGCUCCACAGGAGAAAGAACUGGCAAUCUGCUUCUUAAAGAUUGCAGCCAAGAAGAGCCGGUGGGGCAGUUCCACUGCGUCACAUGGGGCUGCUAUGAGUCAGAAAUCAACUCCACACCACUCCACAACAACAAUCUGUCUCCUUUAAAAUCCAGGCCCCUGACCACUACUCUUUACUGCUCAUUGAUAAUCUAUUAUGAGUGGGGUUGGGAGGUCAGUAUAAAUAAUAAGUAUAUUCUCCAUUCAAAUAUUUAUUUACCUAUUAAUAUCUGAAAGAAGUAUCAUUCUGUACCUAAUUUUCUGUCAGCUGUAGCUGCUGUCUUUCUGCGUUCCCAGGAAACUUUGGUUGGAAUUCAGAUUUAGACUCUGUAGAUGAAAUUUCACUGGCUCAUUUUCAUUUAUUUAUUCCUUUUUAAGUGCUUCUGUCACCAGGAAGUCUGAGCAGUAUGUCCUACAGUUGUGCUGGAGUUGCUCGCGGGAGCACGCCCUCUACUGGUCGCAUGCUGAUAUGCAGCCAGAUGCAGCAUCCACGCAAAGUGCUUCUAUGACAUUUCUUUCCUAUUAUAAGCGCAAUGGCAGGAGUAGAUAUUUUAGGGAAGGGAUGAAACAAAUUUUCUGAAGAAAGCAAAAGACCUCUUCUCAAUAUGGCUUCAGAGUUGACGUAUGCAGAAAUGAAGUUCAAAAAUGAAUCCAACACCUCAGGUUCCAACUCAGAGCCUCCUGCAGCUCCCAAAGAGAAGACCAGCCCUCGGCAAAGUAAUCCUGGUUUUCCCAAGCAGCUUCUUGCCUCAUUGUUGACACUUCUGCUACUAUUGGCAAUGUCAUCCUUUAUUGCUUUUAUCAGGAAAGUUUGGGGCUGCUGCCCAGAGAAUUGGACAGUAUCUAAUACCAGCUGCUACUUAAUUUCUUCCAAAGCAAAAACUUAGACUGAGAGUAAGAAGACCUGCGCUGGGAUGGGAGCUCAUCUGUUGGUGAUCAACACCGAGGAGGAGCAGAUUCUGGCAUCCUGGUGAACCCAUAUAAAGACUGUUGUUUUUCACAAAUUUUUGUAAUGGAAAUUGGGGCUGGAAUGACACACCUUGUGAUGUAAUUCAAAAGUCAAUUUGGGAGAUGAUGAUCUAUUUAUGAAUGGAACAUUCUGCAUGGACGUGUGGUUGAUGGCAUUCACCGUGAAAGGACUACUUUGCUCUUUUUGUUUCUGUGGAAGUGUUGUGUAAGGGAUAACCAUAGAAUUUUUCAAUAGGCCGUCACCUAUUCCACUUACGAUAGCAUCAGUUCACACAUUCAUUCAUCCAUAAAAUGUACAUUUGUUGAGCAUUUUCCGUGUUUCAGAGGCUGUACUAGAGAGCCCUUUUGUAGACACGUGGAGGGAGCCUGAGCUUCCUUUCCUAAUUUCUGCCUGACUGCUAACAGAUUAGUUACUGCCAUAAUUAGGUAGUGUUAUAAUUUGAUGUGAUUCCUUCUCCUGUCUUUCUCUUUUUAGGGAAUGGUCAAAAGCAAAAAAUCUCAAUCAUUACUUUUAAUUUCUCUCAGACAGAUUUAUUGCAAUUUAUUGCUUUUAACUGAAAGCAUAUUAUGCAACAGCAGGCAUACAAUACACAUCAAUUUAAGGUAAGUUCCAGCUUUGGCCCAGUAGACUCUUUGGGCUUCUUAACAUCUUCCAUGCAGUCUUGGCUUUGAACAUAAGGUUCAGACGAAGGGAAAUUAGAGAUUGAACAUUAAGAGAUUUAGAAUUAGAGAACUAGAGUUCACUGCUGAUGAGUUGACCUAUAGAAUUGCAUUCUUCUGGUAUUUUUAUAAUUCUUUUCCUUGGUUCAGUUUUGCAGUUUCUUUGCGUGGAUUGCCACUCAAAAUGGUCCUUGGUUUUUUUUGCUCCCCUUCUUACUAAAGUUCUUACCCAUCAUUUUCUUUCUACUACAAUAUAAAAUAUACUUACAACAAAGCCUCUAAUUCUUUGCCUUGUUGUUGUUGUUUUUAGGUGACGUUGAGCUGGUUCUGACUCAUAGCGACACUAUGUACAACAGAAUGAAACACUGCCCGGUCCUGCACUGUCUUCACAAUUGUUUUUAUGCUUCAGCCUAUUGUUGUAGCCACUGUGUCAAUCCAUCUUAUUGAGUGUCUUACUUCUGUUUUGCUGACCUGCUACUUUACCAAGUAUGAUGUCCUUCUCCAGGGACUGAUCCCUCCUGACAACAUGUCCAAAGUAGGUGAGAUGAAGUCUUGCCUUCCUUGCUUCUAAGGAGCAUUGUGGCUGUACUUCCUCCAAGACAGAUUUGUUUGUUCUUCUGACAGCCCAGGGCAUAUUCGAUAUUCUUUGCCAAUACCAUAAUUCAAAGGCAUCAAUUCUUUUUCGCCCUUCCUUAUUCAUUGUCUGGCUUUCACACACUGUCUUAGUUAUCUAGUGCUGUUAUAACAGAAAUACCAUAAGUAGAUGGUCUAACAAAGAGAAAUUUAUAUUCUCACAGUAAAGUAGGCUAGAAGUCCAAAUUCAGGGCAUUAGCUCCAGGGGAAGGCUUUCUGUCUCUGUCAGCUCUGGAGACAGGUCCUUCUCAUCAAUCUUCCCCUGGAUUAGAAGCUUCUCUACACAUAUUUUUGGGGGACACAAUUCAAUCCAUGACACAUGCAUAUGAGGGGAGUGAAAACGCCAUGAUUUGGGUCAGGCACACCUUAGUCUUCAAGGUGGCCUCUUUGCUUUUUAACACAUUUAAGGGGUCUUUUGCAGCAGAUUUGCCCAAUGCAAUCCAUCAUUUGAUGUCUUGACUGCUACUUCCAUGGGUGUUGAUUGUGGAUCCAAGCAAAAUGGAAUCCUUGACAACUUCAAUCUUUUCUCCAUUUAUCAUGUUGUUGCUUAUUGAUCCACUUGUGAUGAUUUGUAUUUUCUUUAUGUUGAGGUGUAACCAUACUGAAGGCUGUGGUCUUUGAUCUUCCCCAGGAAGUGCUUCAAGUCCUCUUCACUUUCAGCAAACAAGGUUGUGUUAUCUGCAUAAUGCAGGUUGUUAAUGAGUCUCCUUCCAAUCUUUAUGCUGUGUUCUUCUUAUAGUCCAGUGUUUCAGAUUAUUUGCUCAGCGUACACAUUGAAUGACUACAGUGAAAUGAUACAACUCUGACUCACACCUUUCCUGACUUUAAACCAUAUAGCAUCCCCUGGUUCUGUUCGAACAACUGCCUCUUGAUCUACGUACAGGUUCCUCAUGAGCACAAUUAAGUGUUCUGGAAUUCCCAUUCUUCCCAAUGUUAUUCAUACUUUGUUAUAAUCCACACAGUCAGUAAAACACAGGUAAACAUCUUUCUGGUAUUCUCUGCUUUCAGCUAUGAUCCAUGUGAUGUCAGCAAAGAUAUCCCGUGUUCCGUGUCCUCUUCUGAAUCUGGGUUUAAUUUCUGGCAGUUCCGUAUCAAUGUAUUGCUGCAACUGUUUUUGAAUGACCUUCAGCAAAAUUUUACCUGUAUGUGAUAUUAACGACAUUGUUCAAUAAUUUUUACAUUCUGUUGGAUCACGUUUCUUUGGAAUGGGUGCAAAUAUGGAUCUUGUCCAGUCAUUUGACCAGGUAGUUGUCUUCCAAAUUUCUUGGCAUAGACAAGUGAGCACCUCCAGCAUUUCAUCUGUUUGUUGGGACAUCUCAAUUGGUAUCCCGUCAUUCUUGUAGCCUUGUUUUCGCCAAUGCUUUCCGUGCAGCUUGGACUUCUUCCUUGAAUACCAUCGAUUCUUGAUUAUUUGCUACCUCCUGUAACAUUUGAAGGUUGACUAGUGCUUUUUGGUGCAGUGAUUCUUUGUAUUCCUUCCACCUGCUUUUGAUAUUUCCUGCGUCAUUCAAUAUUUUACCCAUAGAAGCCUUCAAAAUUGCAACUCAAGGCUUGAAUUCUUUCUUCAGUUCUUUCAGCUUGAGAAAUGUUGAGUAUUUUCUUCACUUUUGGUUUUCUAACUCCAGGUCUUUGCACAUUUCAUUAUAAUACUCUAUUUUGACUUUUUGUGCUGCCUUUUGAAACUUUCUGUUCAGCAAUUUUAUUACAUUAUUUCUUCAGUUUGCUUUAGCUACUCUAUGUUUAAGAGCAAGUUUCAGAAUCUCUUCUGACAUCCAUUUUGGUCUUUUGUUUCCCAACUUUUUAAUGACCUUUUGAUUUCUUCAUGUAUAAUAUUCUUGUUGUCUUCCCACAACUUGUCUGGUCUUUGGUCAUUAGUGUUCAAUGCGUCAAAUUCAUUCUUGAGGUGGUCUCCAAAUUCAGGUGGAAUAUACUCAAGGUCAUAUUUUGUCUUUUGUGGACUUGUUUUAAUUUUCUUCACAUUCAACUUGAACUUGCAUAUGAGCAAUUGAUUGUCUGUUCCACAGUUGGUUCCUGGCCUUGUUCUGACUGAUGAUACUGAGGUCCUCCAUCAUCUCUUUCUAUAGAUGUAGUCAAUUUAAUUCCUAUGUAUUACAUCUGAUGAGGUCACCAUUUAUGUUGUUGAAAAAAGGUAUUUGUAGUGAAAAGUCACUGGUCUUGCAAAAUUCUUUCAUGUGAUCUCUGGCAUUGUUUCUAUCACCAAGGCCAUAUUUUCCAACUACUGAUCCUUCUUCUUUGGUUCCAGCUUUCCCAUUCCAAUCACUAUAAACUACCAAUGCAUCUUGAUUGCAUGUUUGAUGAAUUUCAAGCUGCAGAAGUUGGCAAAAAUCUUCAAUUUUUUCAUCUUUAGCAUUAGUGGUUGGUGCAAAAAUUUGAAUAAUAGUCAUAUUAACCGAUCUUCCCUGUAGGCAUGUGUAUAUUAUUCUGUCACUGACAGUAUUAUACUUUAAGAUAUAUCUUGAAAUUUUCUUUUGAUGAUGAAUGGGAUGCCAUUGCUCUUCAAUUUGUCAUUCCCAGCAUGGUAGACCAUAUGAUUGUCUGAUUCAGAAUACCAAUAUCAGUUCAUUCAGCUCAUUGAUACCUAGGAUAUUGAUCUUUAUGAAUUCCAUUUUGUUUUUGAUGACUUCCGAUUUUCCUAGAUUCAUAAUUUGUACAUUCCAUGUUGUGAUUAUUGAUGGAUACUUAAAACUGUUUCUUCUCAUUUUGAGUCAUGCCGCAUCAGCAAAUGAAGGUCUUGAAAGCUUGACUCCAUCCACAUCAUUAAGGUCGACUCUAUUUUGAGGAGGCAGCUCUUCCCCAGUCAUAUUUUGAGUGCCUUCCAACCUGAGUGGCUCAUCUUCCAGCCCUAUAUCAGAUAAUGUCCUGCUGCUAUUGAUAAGGUUUUCAAUGGUCAGUUUUCUCAGAAGUAGACAGCCAUAUCCUUCUUCCUAGACUGUUAGUCUGGAAGCUCUGCUGAAACUUGUCUACCAUGGGUGACCCUGCCAGAAUUUGACAGACCUGUAGCAUAGCUUCCAGCAUCACAACACAGCAGCAUGCAAGCUACCACAGUACAGCAAACUGACAAAGUGAUGGAGGUUACAUAUGGAACUAUAUAAAAAAAAAAAAAUGCUUAUUGCUUUAUUUGGCAGAUACAUUUGACCCUAUGAAUGAGAUGUACCUUGGAAUUUUAGGCUCUAUAUUUGUCUUUAUAUUUGCUAUUAAAAGCAAAUAACACCCAUUAGGAUGGCUAUUCUCAGAACAAUGCGAAGUACCAAGUCUUUGGAUACAGAAAAUUAGAACCUUCAUCCACCACUGGUGGGACUUUAAAAUAAUGCAAACUUUGUGGAACAUAGUUUGUUGAUUCCUCAAAAAGUUACACACAGAAUUACCGUAUAACCCAGAAAUCCCCCUCCUAGGUAUAUACCCAAAAAAUUGAAAGAAGGGACUUAAAUGGGUAUUUGUACACCAGUGUUCAUUGUAUCAUUAUUCAUAAUAGCCAGAAGGUAGAAACAUCCAUUCAUCAACAGCUAUAUGGUUAAAUGAAAAUUAAAAAAAUAUAUAUAUUUUAUCACAAUAAAAUAAUAAACCCCACAAAUAAAAAUACAAACAAACCUACCAACACUUCAGACACUUUCUGGCCAAGCUACUGCAUAGUAAAUGGAGAAGGAGGUGACAACUCCAUGGAAUGUCCAGUACUAGGGGAAAUACUUUGCUCAUUGGGAUUAAAAUGAUCAAUCCGGAUGAUUUCCUGGAAGGUGGAAAUCUGUUGAUACCUGACAACCUUUCAGGGCUCUUUUGAUAUUGAUUUUGUUUAGACAAUCUUAAUAUUGAAGCAUGGAUUAAUGGUUCUAUCUCUGUCAACACAGAAAUCAUUAAUGAAGCAAAAAAACCCAAAAACAAACAAAAAAACCCACCAAAUCUAAAGCCAUUGCCAUCAAGUUGAUUCUGAAUCAUAGUGGCCCUAUAGGGCAGGGCAGAACUGCCCAUGAAGUUUCCAAGGCUAUAAAUCUUUAGGGAAGCAGCUGCCACAUCUUUCUCCCUUUGAGCAGCUAGUAGGUUGGAAUUGCUGACCUCUUGGAUAGCAGCCCAUCACUUAACCACUGCACCACCAGGGCUUUCUAACAAUGGUGCACACCUUGUGAAAGAUGAACUCAGAGGAACAAUUCAGAAAGGGAGGGUGAGAAUGGCUUCACAACUCGAAGAAAGUAAUCAAUGUCACUGAAUAGUACUUAUAGAAAUUGUUGAAUUGGUGUAUGUUUUGCUGUGUAUAUUCUCAACAACAAGAAAAAAAUUUGAAAAAAAGACGAACUCAAUGACUCAAGGACAGAUGAGAUAAUGUGACACAAUUUCAACGGUAUUCAAUCAAAUGUUUAGUAUAGGGGUUUGGUUAAAUCAAUCAUAGUAUGUCCACAUGAAUGGUAAAAUUGUUGCAAAUGUAAUUUUAUAAUGAAGAACCACUGUUUAGGACUGUGGUGUAUAUUGUUGGUUUAUUCAGCCCUUCUUCCUUAGAAACAAAACUUCAGUGUUAGAGUCAUUUUUCUUCAGUUAGCUGAGUUGACUUGGAAUGCUGACCUCACAUUAAGCUCUGUGUGUUGUUAUUGUUAGUUGUCCUCAAGUCAGCUCAAUUCUGACUCAUGUCAACUCCAUGUGUGCAGAGUAGAACUUCUAAAUAGGGUUUUCAAGCUGUGCUUUUCAGAAGCAGAGCACCAGACCUGUCUUCCAGGCGCUUGUGUGUGGGUUUGAACUGCCAACCCUUCCCUGUAGUCAAAUGCUUAACCAUUUGAGUCAUCCAGGGGCCCUGAUUAAUCCAAGGCAAUCAAAACAGUCACCUCUCCUAUGGAUUUGUUUAGGAAUAGGCAUUAAUUGCAAUUCAUCCAAUGAAUUUCUUCCUUUUACUAGUUCUCAACCAGAAGGAUGUUUACCUGUGUUUUAUUGACUAUGCACAGGCUUUCGACUGUGUGGAUCAUAACAAAUUAUGGAUAACAUUGUGAAGAAUGGGAAUUCCAGAACACUUAAUUGUGCUCAUGAGGAACCUUUACAUAGAUCAAGAGGCAGUUGUUUGGACAGAACAAGGGGAUACUGAUUGGUUUAAAGUCAGGAAAGGUGUGUGCCUGGGUUGUAUUCUUUCACCAUACCUAUUCAAUCUGUAUGCUGAGCAAAUAAUCUGAGAAGCUGGACUAUAUGAAGAAGAAUGGAGCAUCAGGAUUGGAGGAAGACUCAUUAACAACCUGCGUUAUGCAGAUGACACAAUCUUGCUGGCUGAAAGUUAAGAGGACUUGAAGCUCUUACUAAUGAAGAUCAAAGACCACAGCCUUCAGUAUGGAUUGCACCUCAAUAUAAAACAAAAAUCCUCACAACUGGACCAAUGAGCAACAUCAUGAUAAACCGAGAAAAGAUUGAAGUUGUCAAGGAUUUCAUUUUACUUGGAUCCACAAUUAACAGCCAUGCAAGCAGCAGUCAAGAAAGCAAAAGACGCAUUGCAUUGGGCAAAUCUGCUUCAAAGGACCUCUUUAAAGUGUUGAAGAGAAAAGAUGUCACCUUGAAGACUAAGGUGCACCUGACCCAAGCCAUGGUAUUUUCAAUCGCAUUAUAUGCAUGUGAAAGCUGGACAAUGAAUAAGGAAGACCAAAGAAGAAUUGACGCCUUUGAAUUGUGGUAUUGGUGAAGAAUAUUGAAUAUACCAUGGACUGCCAAAAGAACAAACAAAUCUGUCUUAGAAGUACAACCAGAAUGCUCCUUAGAAGCAAGGAUGGUGAGACUACAUCUUACAUACUUUGGACAUGUUGUCAGGAGGGAUCAGUCCCUGGAGAAGGACAUCAUGCUUGGCAGAGUACAGGGUCAGUGGAAAAGAGGAAGACCCUCAACGAGGUGGAUUGACACAGUGGCUGCAACAUUGAGCUCAAGCAUAACAACGAUUGUAAGGAUGGCGCAGAACCAGGCAGUGUUUCAUUCUGUUGUGCAUAGGGCCACUAUGAGUCGGAACCUACUUGACGGCACCUAACAACGACAACAGCAACAAUAACAACAACAACUCGUUCUCCUUGGAAUCUGUGAAUGAAUCUCUUCCAAUGAACAUGAACAAAGAAACCUUUAGUCCUGCUUCCUGCUGAUAGUCAUUCUAUGAUCAUGAGGGGAACCAACUUUAGGAUGACAUGAGCACCGGCAAACCAGAGUGGAACCCUGGAAAGAGCUGGGUGUUUAAGGGUAUUGUUGAGCCACUGGUUCAAUUAUCUCUGAAGCCUCCUCUACUCUGAAUUUUUAAUUGUAAGAACUAAUACAUUUUCUAAUUAUUUAAGUGUAUUUGAAUUCUGACUGAUACAAGAAAGCAUAUUAUUUUUAUUGCACAAACUUUGUUAGGAUAUCACAUAUAUAGUAAAAUUCUAACAUUUUUAUAGUAUAGUUCAAUGAUUUUAACAAAUGUAUACAACUCUAUAACCACUACACCAGUUAGUAUAAAGAACAUUGCCAUCACUGAAGAAUGUUCCCUUGUGCCCCUACCUUUGACAAGCAGUAAUCUGAUUUCUACCAACAUAUAUUUAUUUUGUGAGCUCUAAUGUUUCACAUAUAUGGAGUCAUGAAGCAUGCUCUUUUGCUUCUACCUUCUUUUACUCAACACGGCUGUGAGACUCAUCUUUCUUUUUGCAUUAUUUCAGCAAUACAUUUAAUUUCAUUAUGAGCUAUAUUUUAUUGUAUGAAUGUAAUUUGUUUAUCUACUCUCCUAUUGUUAACCUUUGGAUUCUUUCCAAUCUGCAAAUGGUUAAACGGUUGGCUGUUAACUGAAAGGCUGAUAUUUAUGAACCCUCCCAGUGGCUUUACCUCCUUGGGGAAAAAGACCUGGCAACCUGCUUCUGCAAAGAUUACAGCCAAGAAAAUCAUAUGGGGCAGUUCUUCACUUUCCCGUGGGGUCACUAUGUGUCAAAAAUGAUUUAUCUGCACUUAACAACAACAACGGCAUCACAAAAUCCAUGAAAAUUAGAAACCUGGAAUUUAGAUGAGAUUGUGUUCAAGUUGCUUUUGUAUGGAAUGUUUUGAAGAGCAAAGGUUUUAAAUUUUUGGUGAUGUGUAGCUUAUCAUUUUUUCUUUUAUGGCGUUUUCUAAGAAACCUGCACCUACACCAAGUUCAUAAAGAUUUUCUAUGUUUUCUUCUAGAAGUUUUAUAUUUUUGCCUUUUGUGUUUGAGUCUACAAUGUACUUAAUAAUUAAAUAUAUAGUUUCCAAAUAUUUUCUCUUAGUCCCUAGGUUGUCUCUUCACUUUGUUGAUAAAGUCCUUCGAUGCAUAAAAGCUUUUCUCAUUGUGGUUUUAAUUUACAUUUCUCAAAUGAGUAAUGACAUUGAAAGUCUUUUUAUAUGAUUAUUAGCCAUUUAUGUCUUCUUUGGUAAAAUGUCAACUCAAAUAUUUUGCCCAUUCUCAAAUUAUUUCUGAGUCGUAUUUUUUUUACAUAUUCUGGAUUCAAAUCAUUUAUAAUAUAAAUGAUUUGUAAAUAUUUUCUCACAGUGUGUAGUGUGUUUUUCGCUUUGUGAAUUAUAUAUUUUGAAGGGUGAAAUUUUGAAUUUUAAGGAAAUUCAAUUUAUCAAUUUUUUUCUUUUCUGAGUUGUGUUUCUGGUGUCAUAUCUAAAAAAUCUUUGCCUAGCCAAAAGUCUCAACUAUUGCUUUUAGAAAUAAUAAUGUGACAAGAACCUGGACUUAGAUUUCUAAGUUUUUGAAACAUAUUCGUUCCGAACUAGUCAGGGAUAUUUAACCAGUGAGGGAAAGAACUAAUGAGGAUGACUUAUUUAAAGUGAUAAAAUUAAUUAGUACUGUUAAUGUUACUCAUUUCAAGGCUGCAUUUUAUUAAAGGCUCUGUAGUUAGAUUAAGUAUAGAAUUCUUUCAUUUUUUUCUUAGUCAUCUGCACUGACUUAUAAGCCUUCUCAUGCUACUGGUGUUUACUGACUCCUCAACUAGAGGACACGAGUAAUUUCUGAAGUGUAAAGUUAUAACUUAAAGGUGGCAUCAAAAAUAUCAAGUACAAAUAAAGGUGAAUGAUUAUGCUAAUCCAUGCUCAGGAUCUUACAUACGUUUUGGUGAAAAUUAGUCAGAUCUUUAUAUAACUAGUAUCUUCUAGGUGCUCUGGUACUCCAGUGAUUAAGAGCUCAGGCAGCAAACCAAAAGGUCAGCCAUUCAAAUCCACCAGCCUCUCCUUGGAAACCCUAUGGUGUAGUUCUACUCUGUCCUAUAGGGUCGCUAUGAGUUGGAAUUGACUUGACAUCAAUGGGUUUUUAGUAUCGUCUAAGGAAAAUAUAAUGUAUAUGUAUGUAAAAGUAAUGUUUGGACUGGCCUGUGUCUCUAGUGAAAAGAUUAACACAUUCUUAAAAAUGUAUUUAAAAAGUUGUUCUCAAAACAUUUUGUCUUUACAUUUAGUGGUAACCAAAUAUUCAAUUGUGAGUUCAGUUCCCAAAAUGUAAGCUAUAGCCUACUUAGCUUGCUGUUUGCCAAGGAUGUGCUUUACCUCAAGUUACAAUACUGAGGGAUUCUAUGGGGAAUAUAUUAAAUGAUGUAGGAUGCAUCAGAAGAAGAUGAAAGGAAUACACAGAGUCACUAUACCAAAAAGAAUUGGUCGACAUUCAACUAUUUCAGGAGGUAGAAUAUGAUCAGGAACCAGUAGUACUGCAUUGAAGGCAUUGGCAAAAAAUAAGGCUUCAGGAGUUGAUCGAAUACCAAUUGAGAUAUUUCAACCAAUGAAUGUAGCACUGGAAGUGAUCGCUUGUCUAUGCUAAGAAAUUUGGCAAACAGCAACGUGGUCAACCAACUGGAAGAGAUCCAUAUUUAUGCCUAUUCCCAAGAAAAGUGAUCCAACUGAAUGUCGAAAUUUUCCAAUAAUAUCACUAAUAUCACAUGCGAGUAAAAUUUUGCUGAAGAUCAUUCAAAAGGGAGUGGAGCAGUAUAUCGACAGAUAACUGCCAGAAAUUCAAGCCAGAUUCAGAAGAGGACAUAGAACCAGGGAUAUCAUUGCUGAUGUCAAAUGGAUCCUGGGUAAAAGAAGAGAAAUCCGGAAAGAUGUUUAUCUGUAUUUUAUUGACUAUACAAAGGCAUUUGACUAUGUGGAUUAUAACAAAUUAUGGAUAACAUUGGGAAGAAUGGGAAUUCCAGAACACUUAACUGUGCUCAUGAGGAACCUGUACGUAGAUCAAGAGGCAGUGGUUCCAACUUUCCCAUUCCAACUACCAGUAAUUAUCAAUGCAUCCUGAUCGCAUGUUCCAUCAAUUUCAGACUGCAGAAGUUGGUAAAAAUCUUCGAUUUCUUCAUCUUUGGCUUUACUGGUUGGUGUGUAAGUUGAAUAAUAGUUGUAUUAACUGGUCUUCCUUGUAAACGUUUGGCUAUUACCCUAUCGCUGACAGCAUUGUACUUCAGGAUAGAUCUCGAGAUGUUCUUUUUCAUGGUAAAUGCAGCGCCAUUCCUCUUCAAGUUGUCAUUCUCAGCAUAGUAGACCACAUGAUUGUCUGUUUCAAAAUGGCCAAUACCAGUCUAUUUCAGCUCAUCAAUGCCUAGGAUAUUGAUGUUUAUGCAUUUCAUAUCUGACGAUUUCCAAUUUUUCUAGAGUCAUACUUCGUACAUUCCGUGUCCUGAUUAUUAGUGGAUGUUUGCAGCUGUUUCUUCUCAUUUUGAGUUGUGCCACGUCAGCAAAUGAAGGUCUCGAAAGCUUGAUGUCAUUAAGAUCAACUCUACUUUGAGGAGGCAACUCUUCCCCAGUAGUAUUUUGAGUGUCUUCCAACCAGAGGGCUCAUCUUGUACUAUAUCAGACAAUGUUUUGCUGCUAUUCAUAAGGUUUCCACUGGCUAAUUCUUUUCAGAAGUAGCCUGCUGGGUCCUUCUUCCUAGUCUGUCUUAGUCUGAAACCUCAGCUGAAACCUGUCCACCACAAAUGACCCUGCUGGUGUUUGGAUACUUGUGGCAUAGCUUCCAGUAUCACAGCAACACUCAAGCCAUCGCAGUACGACAAACUGACAGACAAGUGGGUUAAUUGUAUGAGACUCGUGUAAAAAGAAUAAUCAGUAGUAGUGGGGCUGGGCACCCUCAUACGUUUUCAUUUGUCACCAGCCACUACAUGAAUUCAAUUCCUUUUUUUGGUAAAAAACCUUUAAUAUUCUUAUAGUUCUAAGGAACCACAGAGUCUUGAAUUUGAAAGAGAUCUUAAUGACAAUUUUGCAAAAAAGCAUCUUUUUUUAGUAACAUCCCUAAAUGACAAUUAUAUGAUAUCCUUGAAAAUAGACCUUUUAUAAUAUAAAGUUGGGUUUUGGAAUCAUUAAGCCUGAGUUAAAACAUAAAAAUCUAUUUUUACUAGAUAUGUGACUUUGGCCAAAUGAAGAAUAACUAUACAUAUUUUUCAGGUUCUCACUGGCCAAAUAUAAGGAAAUUAGAGCAUUAAAAAUAAAUAAUGAUGGUGGGGGUGGUCUUAUACCAUUCAAUAAACUAGAUAACAAUCAUCCCAUAAACUCAAAACCAAACCCAUUGCCAUCGAGUCAAUCCUGACUCAUAGUGACCCUAUAGGACAGAGUUGAAGUGCCCCAUUGGGUUUCCAAGGAGGAGCUAGUGGACUCAAACUGCCAACUUUUGGUUAGCAGCCAAAUGCUUAACCACUGGGCCACCAAAGCCCAUACUUUAUUACAAAAUAAUGUAAGCCGAUGAGGAGUGAGAUACAUAUAUAGUUUUAAAGACCCUUCCCACAAAAUAGUUUUGAUGACAAAAGGGGAAAAAUGUAACUUUAUAGUGGAGAAGUUUGGCGGAUAUCACCUUAAUUAGCUGAUCAAAGGGAAACAUCAAUAAAGGGAGAAGUUGAAAUUGUCUACCAUUUGAUAGGAUGUAAUGAUAAGAAAAUAACAUCAUUUUUGGGGUAUUCCUGCCUAUGAAAAACACCAGACAAAACCAAUUUCCAUGAAUUCUGCAAAAUAAUUGGACUUCUCAAGUGUCAGUCAUGAAAGUUCAGGGAAGACAGGUAUAGUUGCAGUCUGAAGAAGACUAAUGAGACAUAUUAUUGAGACAAUUGGGAAAACUGGAAUAGGGUCUGAGGAUUAAAUGAUAGUAACGUGUCAGCAUAGGAACCUUAGUUGCGCAGUGGUUAAGUACUUGGCUGCUAACCAAAAGAUGGGCAGUUCAAACCCACCAGCCGCUCCAUGAGAGAAAGAUGUUGUAAUCUGUUUCUGGGAAGAUUACAGCAUUGUAAUCUUUAGUACUGCCCCUGUGGGACAGUUGUACUGUGUCCAAUAUGGUUGCUAUGAGUUGGAAUUGACUUGAUGGCAAUAGGUAAUGUAUCAAUAAGGCGACUGGGUGGUAAAAACGGUUAAAUGCUCAACUACUAACCCAAAGAUUGGCAGUUCAAACCCAUCCAGAGGUGCCCUGGAAGAAAAGCCUGGCAAUUUGCUUUCCCAAAAUGGUCCAUUGAAACUCACAUGGAGCACAGUUCUUUGACACACAUGCGGUAUGCAUGAGUUGGAAUCAACUCUACAGCAACUGGCUUAAUGUAUCAGUGUUAAUUUCUUGAUUUUGAAGAUUAUAUUUUGGUUAAGCAGGAGAAGUUCCUCGAAUGAAGAAAAUACACAUUAAGUAUUUGGAGGUGAUGGGGUAUCAGAUCAGCAACUUAUUCUCAAAUGGCUCAAGAAAAAAGUUUGGUACUUGUAACUUUUCAAAGUUUAUGGUUGUUCCAAACAAAGAAACAAACAAAAAUUGUGUGAGGUUAAAUAGGUGUGCUUGUAACUCACAUUGGAAGGAGAUCAUGAAGGAGUUUCAACCUGGAGUGCUCAUGUCCACUGUGGCCCAUGCUGGAUAUCUCAGGCUGGUUUCUCUAGAGAAACAAAAUUAGUAAAGUGUAUAUAUAUAUACACACACACAAACACACACACAGAGAGAGAGAGAGAGAGAGAGAGAGAGAAAGAUUUAGAUCAAGGAAACGGCACACAAGCUUGUAGAGGCUGGAAUGUCCCAAGUCAAUGGGUCAGGAUAGAGGAUUCUUCUGAAUCACUUAGCCGCAGAGGCUGGCAAACCAAAGAUCAGUAGGUCUUGCUCACAGGCUGAUAAGUUUGAUGAAUCCCAAGAUCAGUAGGCAAGACCACAGAUAAGCUGUUAGCUCACAUUCUAAGAACUGGAGGUCAGAUGAACAGCAACCACCUGCAGGAUCCAGUAGCAGCAGAAAACCCCUAUGCCUUGCUAGGCUAUCUCCUUAUAAUCAGUGCAGACCACACACCCAGGGAAACUCCCUUUCAACUCAUUGGCUGCUCACCACAGAUCCCAUCAUGGAGGUGAUCACAUAAUAUCAAAUCUCAACAUGGAAGUGGUCACAAUAUCAUAGGACUGCCAAACCACUGAGAAUCAUGGCCCAGCCAAGUUGACACACAACAUUAGCCAUCCAACCAGGAUAUUUUGAAUGUCCAGUUUCCCUUGCAACCAUGUCCACUAUCCAAGGUUUU